UACGAAGGGGGCUAGCGUUGUUCGGAAUCACUGGGCGUAAAGCGCACGUAGGCGGAUCUUUAAGUCAGGGGUGAAAUCCCGAGGCUCAACCUCGGAACUGCCUUUGAUACUGAGGAUCUCGAGUCCGGGAGAGGUGAGUGGAACUGCGAGUGUAGAGGUGAAAUUCGUAGAUAUUCGCAAGAACACCAGUGGCGAAGGCGGCUCACUGGCCCGGAACUGACGCUGAGGUGCGAAAGCGUGGGGAGCAAACAGG
rnacentral:rRNA from 1 species